CUCUGGGAUUGCAGGUUUGAACUAUCUCAUCUGAAAGACCCCCGGAGCAGGGAGACCCUCACUCAAGACUCGGGAUGACUCGACCCCCCAAGAACUCACAUAAGACU
rnacentral:pre_miRNA from 14 species